AUCCAGUUGACGCGUCCCAGAUAAGACGAAACGCGCGUCCUAAAU
rnacentral:hammerhead_ribozyme from 1 species